GCCGGGCAUGGUGGCGCGUGCCUGUAAUCCCAGCUACUCUGGAGGCUGAGGCGGGAGAAUCGCUUGAACCUGGGAGGCAGAGGUUGCAGUGAGCUGAGAUCGUGCCACUGCACUCCAGCCUGGGUGACAGAGUGAGACUCGUCUUAA
rnacentral:sRNA from 1 species